AUUGAACGCUGGCGGCAUGCCUUACACAUGCAAGUCGAACGGCAGCGGGGACUUCGGUCCGCCGGCGAGUGGCGAACGGGUGAGUAACGUAUCGGAACGUACCUUUCAGUGGGGGAGUAACGUAGCGAAGUUAACGCUAAUACCGCAUAUUCUGUGAGCAGGAAAGCAGGGGAGUCGCAAGACCUUGCGCUGAUUGAGCGGCCGAUAUCAGAUUAGCUAGUUGGUGAGGUAAAGGCUCACCAAGGCGACGAUCUGUAGCGGGUCUGAGAGGAUGAUCCGCCACACUGGAACUGAGACACGGUCCAGACUCCUACGGGAGGCAGCAGUGGGGAAUUUUGGACAAUGGGGGCGAACCCUGAUCCAGCCAUGCCGCGUGAGUGAAGAAGGCCUUCGGUU
rnacentral:rRNA from 1 species